GACGAACGCUGGCGGCGUGCUUAACACAUGCAAGUCGAACGGAAAGGCCCUGCUUUUGUGGGGUGCUCGAGUGGCGAACGGGUGAGUAACACGUGAGUAACCUGCCCUUGACUUUGGGAUAACUUCAGGAAACUGGGGCUAAUACCGGAUAGGAGCUCCUGCUGCAUGGUGGGGGUUGGAAAGUUUCGGCGGUUGGGGAUGGACUCGCGGCUUAUCAGCUUGUUGGUGGGGUAGUGGCUUACCAAGGCUUUAACGGGUAGCCGGCCUGAGAGGGUGACCGGCCACAUUGGGACUGAGAUACGGCCCAGACUCCUACGGGAGGCAGCAGUGGGGAAUAUUGCACAAUGGGCGGAAGCCUGAUGCAGCAACGCCGCGUGCGGGAUGACGGCCUUCGGGUUGUAAACCACUUUCGCCUGUGACGAAGCGUGAGUGACGGUAAUGGGUAAAGAAGCACCGGCUAACUACGUG
rnacentral:rRNA from 1 species